GCAUAUCAAUAAGCGGAGGAAAAGAAACUAACAAGGAUUCCCCUAGUAACUGCGAGUGAAGCGGGAAAAGCUCAAAUUUGAAAUCUGGCAGUCUUCGGCUGUCCGAGUUGUAGUCUGGAGAAGCGUUUUCCGCGUUGGACCGUGUACAAGUCUCCUGGAACGGAGCGUCAUAGAGGGUGAGAAUCCCGUCUUUGACACGGACUACCAGUGCUUUGUGAUGCGCUCUCAAAGAGUCGAGUUGUUUGGGAAUGCAGCUCAAAAUGGGUGGUAAACUCCAUCUAAAGCUAAAUAUUGGCGAGAGACCGAUAGCGAACAAGUACCGUGAGGGAAAGAUGAAAAGCACUUUGGAAAGAGAGUUAAACAGUACGUGAAAUUGCUGAAAGGGAAACGCUUGAAGUCAGUCGCGUUUGCUAGGACUCAGCCUUGCCUCGGCUUGGUGCAUUUCCUAGUAGACGGGCCAGCAUCAUUUUUGGCUGCGGGACAAAGGUCAGAGGAAUGUGGCACCUUCGGGUGUGUUAUAGCCUCUGGCUGUAUACCGUGGCUGGGAGUGAGGAACUCAGCACGCCUUCAUUGGCGGGGCUUCGGCCACCUUCGUGCUUAGGAUGCUGGCGUAAUGGCUUUAAACGACCCGUCUUGAAACACGGACCAAGGAGUCUAACAUGCCUGCGAGUGUUUGGGUGAAAAACCCGAGCGCGUAAUGAAAGUGAUAGUUGGGACCUCUGUCGUGGAGGGCACCGACGCCCGGACCAGACCUUCUGUGACGGAUCCGCGGUAGAGCAUGUAUGUUGGGACCCGAAAGAUGGUGAACUAUGCCUGAAUAGGGUGAAGCCAGAGGAAACUCUGGUGGAGGCUCGUAGCGAUUUUGACGUGCAAAUCGAUCGUCAAAUUUGGGUAUAGGGGCGAAAGACUAAUCGAACCAUCUAGUAGCU
rnacentral:rRNA from 1 species